CAGCAGCCGCGGUAAUACGUAGGGUGCGAGCGUUAAUCAGAAUUACUGGGCGUAAAGCGUGCGCAGGCGGUUGUGUAAGACAGGUGUGAAAUCCCCGGGCUUAACCUGGGAACUGCGCUUGUGACUGCACAGCUAGAGUAUGGCAGAGGGGGGUGGAAUUCCACGUGUAGCAGUGAAAUGCGUAGAGAUGUGGAGGAACACCGAUGGCGAAGGCAGCCCCCUGGGCCAAUACUGACGCUCAUGCACGAAGGCGUGGGGAGCAAACAGGAUUAGAUACCCGCGUAGUCCCUGUCUCUUAUAC
rnacentral:rRNA from 1 species